rfam:Gorilla gorilla gorilla genomic chromosome, chr2A, whole genome shotgun sequence
GCCGGGUGUGGUGGCACACACCUGUAGUCCCGGCUACUCUGGAGGCUGAGGCAGGGGAAUCGCUUGAACCUGGGAGGCUGAGGUUGCAGUGAGCCAAGAUCGUGCCACUGCACUCUAGCCUGGGCAACAAAGCCAGACUCUGUCUCAA